rnacentral:rRNA from 1 species
GAUGAACGCUGGCGGCGUGCCUAAUACAUGCAAGUCGAGCGAACGGACGAGAAGCUUGCUUCUCUGAUGUUAGCGGCGGACGGGUGAGUAACACGUGGAUAACCUACCUAUCAGACUGGGAUAACUUCGGGAAACCGGAGCUAAUACCGGAUAAUAUUUUGAACCGCAUGGUUCAAAAGUGAAAGGCGGUCUUGCUGUCACUUAUAGAUGGAUCCGCGCUGCAUUAGCUAGUUGGUAAGGUAACGGCUUACCAAGGCAACGAUGCAUAGCCGACCUGAGAGGGUGAUCGGCCACACUGGAACUGAGACACGGUCCAGACUACUACGGGAGGCAGCAGUAGGGAAUCUUACGCAAUGGGCGAAAGCCUGACGGAGCAACGCCGCGUGAGUGAUGAAGGUCUUCGGAUCGUAAAACUCUGUUAUUAGGGAAGAACAUAUGUGUAAGUAACUGUGCACAUCUUGACGGUACCUAAUCAGAAAGCCACGGCUAACUACGUG